rnacentral:ncRNA from 1 species
AUAAAAGUGAAGACGGAAAAAGUAGAUGUAUACUUGCUAUGCAGAGAGCUGAUGGUUGGUGAGAAUCAGUUAGUGGUAUAGAUUGAAGUUCAUUCCUGAACUGCGAGGCUGAACGAUAGUAGGCUGAGCCGGGUUGGCAUUCGUUAAUGUGCUAUGAGUUGAUCUGAUUCGGAACUUUCCGUCCCUUGCGGUAGCGCUUUUUUAUUUCGACGGAUAACUAGGGUGGUACCGCGAUGCACGUCCGUCGUCCCUUUU